UGUUUCGGCUAGGGGGCCAUCCCGGCUUACCAACCCGAUGCAAACUGCGAAUACCGGAGAAUGUUAUCACGGGAGACACACGGCGGGUGCUAACGUCCGUCGUGAAGAGGGAAACAACCCAGACCGCCAGCUAAGGUCCCAAAGUCAUGGUUAAGUGGGAAACGAUGUGGGAAGGCCCAGACAGCCAGGAUGUUGGCUUAGAAGCAGCCAUCAUUUAAAGAAAGCGUAAUAGCUCACUGGUCGAGUCGGCCUGCGCGGAAGAUGUAACGGGGCUAAACCAUGCACCGAAGCUGCGGCAGCGAACGUAUCACUUAAAGCGAU
rnacentral:rRNA from 1 species